UACGAAGGGGGCUAGCGUUGCUCGGAAUGCCUGGGCGUAAAGGGCGCGUAGGCGGCUUGCACAGUCAGGCGUGAAAUUCCUGGGCUCAACCUGGGGACUGCGCUUGAGACGUGUGGGCUUGAGUGGGGAAGAGGGUCGUGGAAUUCCCAGUGUAGAGGUGAAAUUCGUAGAUAUUGGGAAGAACACCAGUGGCGAAGGCGGCUCACUGGCCCGAUACUGACGCUGAGGCACGAAAGCGUGGGGAGCAAACAGG
rnacentral:rRNA from 1 species